rnacentral:lncRNA from 1 species
AGCUCUCUUUUCUUCUCCGUGUUUGAGCCUGGGUCCACACCAUCUGUACUGUGCUACGCUGGGCGGACUCUUACUGGCUGUAAAUCCUGCUACCGGGAGUCUGAUCUGGAAACGUCCCUGUGGAAAGCCGUUAUUCUCUUCCCCACGGUGUUACCAGCACUACGUUUGUAUCGGCUGCGUGGAUGGCAGUCUGCUCUGCUUCUCACACUCAGGAGAGCAGGUUUGGCGCUUUUCUGCUGGAGGACCAAUCUUUUCAUCCCCAUGUAUCUCUGCAUCAGAACAAGACAUAUAUUUUGGUUCCCACGAUUGCUUUCUCUACUGCUGUAGCACGGAAGGCGGCCUCCGGUGGAAAUUCGAGACCACAGCCAGGGUGUACUCGACGCCCUUUGCUUUCCCUAACCACCUCUGCGGCAGCGGCACACUGUUGGCAGCGGCGUCCACCGACGGGAAACUGUGGGUCCUCGAGUCUCAGAGUGGAGAGCUGCGAAGUGUGUACGAACUCCCCGGAGAAGUCUUUUCUUCUCCCGUGGUCUGGGAAUCAAUGCUUGUUAUUGGGUGCAGAAAUAAUUAUAUUUACUGUCUGGAUUUAUCGUGUGGUGAUAAAAAUAACCAAGUGUAGCCCUUAUAAGUAUACAUCAGUGAGAUGGUUCGGAAUGUCAUUGUAAAGCUUAUGGAUGGUUUUAUAUUAAAGAUUCUAUUUUAGUUAA